AGUGAACGCUGGCGGUAGGCCUAACACAUGCAAGUCGAACGGCAGCACAGUAAGAGCUUGCUCUUACGGGUGGCGAGUGGCGGACGGGUGAGGAAUACAUCGGAAUCUACUUUUUCGUGGGGGAUAACGUAGGGAAACUUACGCUAAAACCGCAUACGACCUACGGGUGAAAGCAGGGGAUCUUCGGACCUUGCGCGAUUGAAUGAGCCGAUGUCGGAUUAGCUAGUUGGCGGGGUAAAGGCCCACCAAGGCGACGAUCCGUAGCUGGUCUGAGAGGAUGAUCAGCCACACUGGAACUGAGACACGGUCCAGACUCCUACGGGAGACAGCAGUGGGGAAUAUUGGACAAUGGGCGCAAGCCUGAUCCAGCCAUACCGCGUGGGUGAAGAAGGCCUUCGGGUUGUAAAGCCCUUUUGUUGGGAAAGAAAAGCAGCAGGUUAAUACCCCGCUGUUCUGACGGUACCCAAAGAAUAAGCACCGGCUAACUUCGUG
rnacentral:rRNA from 1 species